CAACAGGGAUUGCCUUAGUAACGGCGAGUGAAGCGGCAACAGCUCAAAUUUGAAAUCUGGCCCCUCCAUCGGGGUCCGAGUUGUACUUUGUAGAGGGUGCUCUGGCGCUGGCAGUGGCCCAAGUUCCUUGGAACAGGACGUCAUGGAGGGUGAGAAUCCCGUACAUGGCCGCGCAGCCUCGCCAUGUAAAGCCCCUUCGACGAGUCGAGUUGUUUGGGAAUGCAGCUCUAAAUGGGAGGUAAAUUUCUUCUAAAGCUAAAUACUAGCCAGAGACCGAUAGCGCACAAGUAGAGUGAUCGAAAGAUGAAAAGCACUUUGGAAAGAGAGUCAAAAAGCACGUGAAAUUGUUGAAAGGGAAGCGCUCACAGCCAGAUGUGCCCGUGGCGUCUCAUCUGGACAUUUGUCCAGUGUACUCUCCCACGGGCAGGCCAGCAUCGGUCUGGGCGGUUGGAUAAAGGCAUUGGGAAUGUAGCUCCCCCUGGGGAGCGUUAUAGCCCGGUGUGCAAUGCAGCCAGCUCGGACCGAGGCCUGCGCGCAUGCUAGGAUGCUGGCGUAAUGGCUGUGAGCGGCCCGUCUUGAAACACGGACCAAGGAGUCUAACAUCCAUGCGAGUGUUUGGGUGUCAAUCCCAGGUGCACAAUGAAAGUGAAUGGAGGUGGGAACCCUCUCUGAGGGCGCACCAUCGACCGAUCCUGAUGUCUUCGGAUGGAUUUGAGUAGGAGCAUGGCUGUUAGGACCCGAAAGAUGGUGAACUAUGCCUGAAUAGGGUGAAGCCAGAGGAAACUCUGGUGGAGGCUCGCAGCGGUUCUGACGUGCAAAUCGAUCGUCGAAUUUGGGCAUAGGGGCGAAAGACUAAUCGAAC
rnacentral:rRNA from 1 species